UAGGGAAGCUUCGGCAAUGGGGGCAACCCUGACCGAGCAACGCCGCGUGAGGGAAGAAGGUUUUCGGAUCGUAAAGCUUUGUUGUAAGAGAAGAACGUGUGUGAGAGUGGAAAGUUCACACAGUGACGGUAACUUACCAGAAAGGGACGGCUAACUACGUGCCAGCAGCCGCGGUAAUACGUAGGUCCCGAGCGUUGUCCGGAUUUAUUGGGCGUAAAGCGAGCGCAGGCGGUUUAAUAAGUCUGAAGUUAAAGGCAGUGGCUUAACCAUUGUUCGCUUUGGAAACUGUUAAACUUGAGUGCAGAAGGGGGGAGUGGAAUUCCAUGUGUAGCGGUGAAAUGCGUAGAUAUAUGGAGGAACACCGGUGGCGAAAGCGGCUCUCUGGUCUGUAACUGACGCUGAGGCUCGAAAGCGUGGGGAGCAAACAGG
rnacentral:rRNA from 1 species